CAUCUUUGUUAAAUACGCAAGUCCCAACCGCGAGAAUGGUUCAGAAAUCUUCAAAUUAUCUUUUUAUGGGCAGCAGUGGAUCUCCAUGGAACAAACAUGCAUUCAGUAACGCAAGAGACUCUGCACGAUGCUAUCAGAAGACACCGGGGCAUCAAGUGAAGUCUUUCCUUUGUAACAGGUUCAAGUCACCACUACCGAAAGGCGCAAGUGCAGAAGAGGCCGUCUGAGUGGGUAAAGGGGACAAGUAGCCUAUGCAGAUAAAGCAAUGGAUUGUGGUUAAUGAACGUGCCAUGACUGUGGUUUUUCUUGGAGGUUAAGCCAGAGGUUAACUCUGACAUAUGCUGAAUGCUCAGACCUCAUUGCUGGAAAUGAGAUUGAGAUGAUCUCAUUCAAGAUACUUUAAUGCUUCUGUCGCUAAUGUUCUGUUUGUAUCUAUUUGGGCACCGAUAUAGACAAAUCACCACAUCUAACCUCUUUGUCGAUUUUGUCCUGCACAUCUUAACGUUAAAAACAUCUCAUCCUGCUUUCUUUUAUGUUAUUGUAUCACUAAUUGAGAAUGUUUGAUAUAAAUACUCUGUCUGAUAGUAAGAAAAUGAAAAUACCUAUAUGAUCUCUUUUGAUUUUGUAUGUCUUUUAGUGUUAUCAGUAUUAAUAAAAAAAAAAAACAUAAUCUACUAUACUCUCCAACCAGGAUCUUAAAUGAUGUCUGUUUGUAAUAUCU